GAUGGCAGGAGUUGAAAACGAAGUUCAGGAGAGUGGGGGUAUGAUUGUGAGGAACAAUCUCAAAGAGGAGUUGUUCUGAGACUCAAAAUAUUACAGUCUAAAAUAAAGGACUGAGUUACUGGAAACAAGACAGUCUGAAAUAAAGACUGGGUGAAGUACAGUUCUGGGAAGGAACUGGUUGCAAAGUGCAGUGAGAGGUUCAAAUCAUCACCUCUGUAACCCAACAAGAUUUCAGCCCUACUAAUCAGUAGUGAGACAAACAAACCUCAGAUAACAUAUUUAAAUAAAUAUUCUUCUUGUUUUGUUUUAAAGUACAUCUGACUGAGUGAUUUCUGUAACAAACCCUCAUCAUGUCUGCAGAGCCAUGAUGUCUCAUCAUGUCUGCAAAGUCAUGUGUACAAAGCCAUCAGGGUAAAGAAACCAACAGAGUUACAGAGGCUUCAUCGUACAAUUGGUGGUAGUGGAAAUAUAAGUACACUUAUACAAGCCAAAGUAACAUCUAAGAGAUCAUGUAGAACAAAUAGCACUUUCAAACAGAAAUAAACGAACAAGCAAACAUUUGGCUUUACACGGAUGUAUUUGAACCUAUACAUUUUCCUCUCAUGUUUAAUCUCUGUUUUAUGCCCAGAGCAUUGAGGAAAAAGUGGAUGGCAAUGGAAACUAAUCGACCACAAAACAUUGGCUCUUUCAGUAAAUGUGUUUGCAUAAAAUAUGAACAGUUUCCACUGGAUAUUAGUGACUGGAUAACCCAUUCUAAUAACCAUAUAAAAGAGUGUUUAACUACACAUCUGUUUCCUCUCUCUUACAUACUGCAUAAUGAAUCAGAGUGGAUAUGGAAUAUGGCAAGAGAUUGCAAGUACGUCAAUAUGGCUUGUUCUAUAAGGUAAUGAAUGGCAUUGGCCUAAAUAAGCACUGAAGUAUGAAGCCCUAUAAUAUUAGAUAGCUUCCUGCUACAUUUGUGGGUGUGUUUUUUUCUUGAAAAGGCCUUAUUAAGACAUUCUAGUAUAACAAACUAGGGCAGCAAGCUUUAAUUAGUUUUAUGGGUAGAUUAGUCAACUAAAGGUUGAGUUGAUCCGUAAGGGAACAUUUUAAUCAGUGAACUGAAAGACACAUUUUAUCUUUUCAAGCCAUUUUGAUCCUAUUAUGGUAUAUUAUAAUAUACAGUGGCUGAAAACUGUACAACAUUCCAUCUGCCUUGUAACAGAAUGUGGGUGCAGUAGCACAAGAGCACGCUUGCAUAAGUAGUAACAAUUGCACAAAUGCCGUUGCAUGAUGGGCAGCCAUUUGAAAUAAUGGCCAUUCUUUGUGCAAUGUUUUUCCACAAUUCUUACUGUAGGGACCAUCAACUUGAGGAUUCUUCCUGGGGCCUCUUUAAGCAUUCAGAAGUGUGGGGAGGGGCUUUUGUCACCUACCUUCUUCCUUUACUGGCCACCAAGGAAGCUUACUUUGCCCCUCACUGUGGGUCCAAGCUACACAUACCUCCUAUCUUGCCUGGCCUUCCUCAUCAUGGGUUCUGAGUUCCCUAAAUAUUUCAUUGCAAGAGGCACACUUCCCCCAGUUCCACCCUGCUUCCGAAGCUGCCUUCCCCCAUAGGGCUAUCCUCUGUCUUCCUGGUGGCCCAUGGUAACAGCCAUCGCUUCCCAGAAUGCUCUCAUUGGUCCUUCUUACCAUCUUGUAUACUUCCUGGACCCUACAUAGUGGUGAAGAGGCAUGCCCUGGAUCCCUCCUUGCUCCAUCAAGAAGCUGCGUGCCAGGCCAACCCCACCCUGCCGCCAUAGUGUUGCAUGUCGAAACAUGCACCUUUCCCACUUUCUUCUCAGGACACUGCUUGAGUGUCUUGCAGGUUCCUAUUGCUUCCUUCUGAAGGGAGCACAUCAUCGGUACUCUUGUGCCAUAAGAGUACCCAUACUCUUAUGGCACGGGUACUCUUGUGCUACUGCACAUACAUUCUGUUACAAGGCAGGUGGAACAUUACAGCAUGACUGCCAAUCUUUGUAUAUUAUUGUGAUUUUUAAAAGACUUUUAAAAGUGGCAACAGUAAGUGGCAGCCUUGUUGAUUAAAUAAUUAAUUCCUCAAAAAGACACUUACCUUGAGAUUUUGGUAAUUAAAUUUACAUUUAAUUAUAUAAUUAAUUGGAUGCUUUAAACAGCAGAUGAUUAAGCAUCUAAAACAAACCUUUAAUCUAUGGACAGCUACCUAAAAGUAAGCCAAUUUGAGAUCAUAUUUUGUGUCAGCAGAUAUCUUGCCCUUGAAAGAAUAAACAUUUGUUUGUAAUGAAAAUAAAUAAACUGAGGGAAAGCAAUAUUUUGUAGAGAGCAUAAGUCAAAUUAUGUCUAACAUAACAUAAACCUCUUCAUGAUAAUUCUUCAGUAAAGUGGUAAAGAAAAACAAUUGAGUUAAGGUUUUGGUCAGGGUAGUUGAUUCUGUACCGGAUUUGUCAUAUUUAUUGUUGUUUGUUUACACAGUCAGACAGGUGUUAUUGACUGGUUUGUUUUAUCGAGACAUCGAGUCCUUCCCAAGGACCUGGGAUCGCUGAAUUUUAUUAUCAAUAUCGUUGUUAUUAUAGAUAUUGUCGUAGAAUAUAGGCUGUUCCCAGUAAAGCUGCUUUUUGUAAUUGGCUGGUGGUGAUUUCUGUGGCCCCUAUGGUGCUGAGGUGCUCUUCAAGUUGUUUUGGAAUUGCACCUAGGGCACCAAUUACUACUGGGAUUAUUUUGGUCUUCUUCUGCCACAGCCUUUCAAUUUCAAUUUGUAGAUCUUUGUAUUUUGUGAUUUUUUCUAUUUCUUUUUCUUCUAUUCUGCUAUCCUCUGGUAUUGCUAUGUCGAUUAUUUUAACUUGUUUUUCUUUCUUCUCAACUACAGUUAUAUCUCGUGUAUUGUGUUGCAGAUGUUUGUUUGUUUGUAGUCGGAAGUCCCAUAAUAUUUUUGCAUCUUUAUUUUCUACAACUUUUUCAAUUUUUUAUUAUUAUUACAAAUAUUUGUAUACCACUCUUCAACAAAAUUCUCAAAGCGGUUUACAUAGAAAAAUAAAUAAUAUGUAAAUAA